CUCUCUCUUUCUCUCUCUCUCUCUCUCUCUCUCUCUCUCUCUCUUAUCUUUCCAUUCCUCUCUUUUCCUUUUUCCUUCUUUCUUUUCCUUCCUCUCCCCCAUACUCAUUCUCUUACUGUGACACGUGACAUCUCUCGAAGCCCAGAGGCUGAUCUCAUCUCUUUAUAGUCUUCUAUUAACCAAAACGCCACAUAUCCACCUACCCUUCCUAUGGAUAGCUCUCUUAUGUACUUCCCAUAUAAACGAAUAGUCAUCACUGCUCUCACGGUGAUUGCUAACCUCCUCUUUUCCUUUGCAUUUAUCCUAACAUAUUACUAUACACAGUAUCAUUAUGGUCUCCUCACUCCCAAAUUAACCAGCACCUAUCAAGAGUCAGCUUUGAAGUCUCCAGCUACUCUAUUAUCAGAGUGGAUUGAAUACUAGAUAGUGAGGGUUGCUGCAGGCAACUUAACCCAUAGGGGCAGAUUGAAGGUAGAGUCAGAUGCCUGGAACACCAGUCUAAGAGGCUGAAAAAUCAUCACAACUAUACUGCAAUCUAGCCUCUCUUGAACACUGCAAAUUAAUCCACUGAAAGGAAAGAGGCAACCUGAAUUAAAAGAACAAAACCAUCAAGUCUAAACUAAUGAUCUAACAUCUGAUGAGCAGAUGUCAGCACAAAGACACAAGUAGCAUGAAAAACAAACAAAAUAAAACAAGACAAAAACAAGGCAAUUGUCUCCUCCAAAAUUUACAGAGCCCAUACUAAUGACCCCUGAUUAAAAUGACUUAGGUAAAAUUACAGGACCAUGUGUUGCUAUUCUAAUAUAUAUGACAAAAUAGAUCCAAGUCAACUCCUUAUCAGUAUUAUAUUUAAUUUUCCAUGCAAUACCUUUUGCUCAUGUUUUCCCUCACCUAAGAAAUUAUAGUCCUUCCUUGGCUAUAGCAUACUUCGAUCUCUCUUUUUUUUUAUUCCUCUGCAAAAUGAGGGCUGCACUAUACAAUGAUGAUAGCCGUAACUAUUGAAAGAUUGGCCAUAUACUAGCACAAUGUUACCUUAAAACAUUGAAAGGGGGUUCUUUCAACAGAUGAGGGAAUCUACAUUGAGACAAACAGUAGAAUUUAGCCUGUGUUUCCUUGUAACACCAUUAUUACAUGUUCACACCUCACUGAAUACAAAUCUGACCUUGUAGACUUGCUGAGCUGCAUAGUCAUCCGUGGAAAGGGGUCAUGGGAGAUAAUCAUGUUCCACAUAGCAGGAGGCAGAGUACAUGCUGUUCAAAGUCCUUACCUACGUGCUUGCCUUCAGCUAAGCAUCAUGACUUAAAGAAGAAAUUUGUGGAAGAAGGAGUUUAUUCUGACUUACAGUUCCAGAAGGAUGAGACAGGAAGACAUGAAUGUCAGUAGCAGGCAUGGCAAAAGGAGCAGGAAGCAGAGAGCUGGCUUCAUCCACAAGUGUAAAGCAGGAAGACUGAGCUAGAAGUGGCUCAAGGCAAUAUAAAUUCUCAAAGCCCACCCGUAGUGAUCUACUUCCUCCAGCAAGGCAGUACUAUUCCCAAAACUGCACCACCAACUGGGUACCAAGUGUCUAAGUACCUGAAACUACAGGAGACAUUUUUAUUCAAACCACUACACUUUGGGAAAUGAAGAGGAGAAGAAAGUCUGUACUGUUCAUCACAGAAAAGACCUAGCCCUCACAAGAGUAGGGACAGGCACAGACACACAUAUACAGAGAGACAUAAACACUUCCGUUUCAUGAUUGAAAUAAUCUAUGAAUGUGAAAUCUACAGAGGCUUCAGUCCAUCAUGGCAGGGAGGGUGUGGCUCACCUGCAGCUAGGAUGCAGAGAAUACCUGGAUGAAAAGAAUAAAAGGGAAGACACAUGACUUACCCAAGACUGAAACUCACAGAGCCUUCACAGACCCCCAUCUUACCAAUAGGCAUUUUGCCCUCACAGACCAUUUUUGACAGUCAUUGAUAGAUAGACAGUCAUUGAUGUUUCACCACUCUGGCUAUGGUGAUGCCCUACAUGAAAGUCAUUCUCUCUCUGCAUCCUGCCCACUGUCAUGUGAAGAGUUCCAUCACACACUCCUACCCAUGGGAAGAAUUAUUUCCGUCAAUCAUUCCUUCUCCAUCCUACUGGACUAAAAUCCAUCUGAAAACAAAGACAAAAAAUAAACUUCUCUUACCUUAA